CUGACUAAUGUUCAGUCCACCUCUCCGGUGUCUCUGGAUUGGUAAGGUUGAGGUAUUUGUUGAAGAGCCACCGAGAAGUGUUGAAAGCAUCUCCUCUACUUACAACUGGAAAUAUAUUUCUACGGCUUUGCCAAUCAUUGCUCUGGGACCAUAAUAAUCAUGCAGAAGCCCACUCCAAUACUUGUUUCCUGUGAAAAAUAGCAAAAACAGCAUGAAAUCAAUUAGUACGUCCACACAUCAUCCCGCUAUUCUAUUCUAUUCUUUUCUUUUUCUCAGUUAACUGUUGUUAAAUACCAUAGUCACGAAGCAGACUGGCUUCCUCAUCUGUGUUGUCAAACCACAUGGUGAUUUGUGUUCUAGCAUUCCACUCAAACUGAAAAUGUUUACAACUGUAAUUCAAUACAAGUAUAUAUAAGAUAAGAUGGAAUUUUUUCAAUUA